UACGUAGGGUGCGAGCGUUGUCCGGAAUUAUUGGGCGUAAAGAGCUUGUAGGCGGUUUUUCGCGUCUGCCGUGAAAAUCCAGGGCUUAACCCUGGACCUGCAGUGGGUACGGGCAGACUGGAGUGCGGUAGGGGAGAGCGGAAUUCCUGGUGUAGCGGUGAAAUGCGCAGAUAUCAGGAGGAACACCAAUGGCGAAGGCAGCUCGCUGGGACGUGACUGACGCUGAGACGCGAAAGCGUGGGGAGCAAACAGG
rnacentral:rRNA from 1 species